rnacentral:rRNA from 1 species
GUGCCAGCCGCCGCGGUAAUACAGAGGUCCCAAGCGUUGUUCGGAUUCACUGGGCGUAAAGGGUGCGUAGGUGGUGGGGAAAGUCCGAUGUGAAAGCUCCGAGCUCAACUCGGAAAUGGCAUUAGAAACUACCCUGCUAGAGGAUUGGAGGGGGGACUGGAAUUCUCGGUGUAGCAGUGAAAUGCGUAGAUAUCGAGAGGAACACCAGUGGCGAAGGCGAGUCCCUGGACAACUCCUGACACUGAGGCACGAAAGCUAGGGGAGCAAACAGGAUUAGAUACCCUCGUAGUCC